ACCGGAAAAAGAGGAGUGGCGAACGGGUGAGUAACACGUGGGUAACCUGCCCAUCAGAAGGGGAUAACACUUGGAAACAGGUGCUAAUACCGUAUAACAAUCAAAACCGCAUGGUUUUGAUUUGAAAGGCGCUUUCGGGUGUCGCUGAUGGAUGGACCCGCGGUGCAUUAGCUAGUUGGUGAGGUAACGGCUCACCAAGGCCACGAUGCAUAGCCGACCUGAGAGGGUGAUCGGCCACAUUGGGACUGAGACACGGCCCAAACUCCUACGGGAGGCAGCAGUAGGGAAUCUUCGGCAAUGGACGAAAGUCUGACCGAGCAACGCCGCGUGAGUGAAGAAGGUUUUCGGAUCGUAAAACUCUGUUGUUAGAGAAGAACAAGGAUGAGAGUAACUGUUCAUCCCUUGACGGUAUCUAACCAGAAAGCCACGGCUAACUACGUGCCAGCAGCCGCGGUAAUACGUAGGUGGCAAGCGUUGUCCGGAUUUAUUGGGCGUAAAGCGAGCGCAGGCGGUUUCUUAAGUCUGAUGUGAAAGCCCCCGGCUCAACCGGGGAGGGUCAUUGGAAACUGGGAGACUUGAGUGCAGAAGAGGAGAGUGGAAUUCCAUGUGUAGCGGUGAAAUGCGUAGAUAUAUGGAGGAACACCAGUGGCGAAGGCGGCUCUCUGGUCUGUAACUGACGCUGAGGCUCGAAAGCGUGGGGAGCAAACAGGAUUAGAUACCCUGGUAGUCCACGCCGUAAACGAUGAGUGCUAAGUGUUGGAGGGUUUCCGCCCUUCAGUGCUGCAGCUAACGCAUUAAGCACU
rnacentral:rRNA from 1 species